rnacentral:rRNA from 1 species
UCGCUCCUACCGAUUGGGUGUGCUGGUGAAGUGUUCGGAUUGGCACUUUCUGGUGGCAACACCGGGCUGAGCCGAGAAGAUCAUUAAACCCUCCCACCUAGAGGAAGGAG